AAUAAAAGAAAAAAGUCAAACUGUUUAGUAAACAUAAGAAAAAAAAUCAAAGAAAUGCAUGUUUAAGCUACUUUAAUGUUGAUUCUCAUACAAUCACACACACUCUAAACAAAAUUAAGUAAUGCUGGGUAUACUUCUUUUCUAACUUUUUUUUUUCACUUGAUAUACAGGCAUCUUCUAUGCAACUUCAACUAUCUCUUAGUGAAAAUGUCAAGUUCUGCACAAAUUUAUUUAUUUAUUUAUUUAUUUAUUUAUUUAUUUAUUUAUUUAUUGAGACAGAGUCUUGCUCUAUCGCCCAGGCUGGAGUGCAAUGGCACGAUCUUGGCUCACUGCAACCUCUGCCUCCCAGGUUCAAGCAAUUCUCCUCCCUCAGCCUCCUGAGUAGCUGAGAUUA
rnacentral:lncRNA from 1 species